AAGGUACUCCCUCCGUUCCAAAAUUCUUGUCUUACAUUUGUCUAAAUACAAAUGUAUCAAGUCACGUUUUAAUAUUAGGUACAUCUGUAUCUAGACAAAUCUAAGACAAGAAUUUUGGAACGAAGGGAGUAUAUA
rfam:Triticum aestivum genome assembly, contig: Triticum_aestivum_CS42_TGACv1_scaffold_559841_7AL